rnacentral:rRNA from 1 species
AGCGAACGCUGGCGGUAGGCUUAACACAUGCAAGUCGAACGGCAACGCCGUGCGAGCUUGCUCUUACGGGUUGGCAGUCGGGUACGUAACAGGUAAGUAACGUGACCUACAUUUUGGUGUGACUUCAGGAAGGUGAGCUUACUCCCAUAUCGCAUCCGCUCCUCGGUUGAAGGCAGUGGAUCUUCGGACCUGGCGCGAAUGAAUGAGCGGCUGUCGGAUUAGCUGGUUGGCGGGGGGCAGGCCCACCAAGGCGACGAUCCGUAGCUGGUGUGGGUGGAUGGUCAGCCACACUGGAACGGAGACACGGUCCAGAGUCCUACGGGAGGCAGCAGUGGGGAAUAUUGGACAAUGGGCGCAAGCCUGAUCCAGCCAUACCGCGUGGGUGAAGAAGGCCUUCGGGUUGUAAAGCCCUUUUGUUGGGAAAGAAAAGCAGCAGGUUAAUACCCCGCUGUUCUGACGGUACACGGAGAAUAAGCACCGGCUUACUUCGUG